rnacentral:rRNA from 1 species
UACGUAGGCAGCAAGCGUUGUUCGGAGUUACUGGGCGUAAAGAGUGCGUAGGCGGUCCUGUAAGUUUGGUGUGAAAUCUCCCGGCUCAACUGGGAGGGUGCGCCGAAGACUGCAGGGCUUGAGUAUGGGAGAGGUAAGCGGAAUUCCUGGUGUAGCGGUGAAAUGCGUAGAUAUCAGGAGGAACACCUGUGGUGUAGACAGCUUACUGGACCAUCACUGACGCUGAGGCACGAAAGCGUGGGUAGCAAACAGG